GAGACCUCAGGUCAGGCGGGGCUACCCGCUGAAUUUAAGCAUAUCAAUAAGCGGAGGAAAAGAAACUAACAA
rnacentral:rRNA from 1 species